GAUGAACGCUGGCGGCGUGCUUAACACAUGCAAGUCGAACGGAAAGGCCCAAGCUUGCUUGGGUACUCGAGUGGCGAACGGGUGAGUAACACGUGGGUGAUCUGCCCUGCACUUCGGGAUAAGCCUGGGAAACUGGGUCUAAUACCGGAUAGGACGACUGUUUGGAUGCCAUGGUGGAAAGUUUUUUCGGUGUGGGAUGAGCUCGCGGGCUAUCGGCUUGUUGGUGGGGUAAGGGACUACCAAGGCGUCGGCGGGUAGCCGGCCUGCGAGGGUGUACGGCCGCAUUGGGAGGGAGAGACGGACCAGACACAUACGGGCGGCAGGAGGGAGGAAUAUUGAACAAUGGGCGCAAGCCUGAUGCAGCGAGGACGCGUGGGGGAUGAAGGCAUUUGGGUUGUAAGCACCUUUCGCUAGGGACGAAGCGUUUUUAUGACGGUACCUGGAGAAGAAGCACCGGCUAACUACGUG
rnacentral:rRNA from 1 species